GUACGUAGGGGGCGAGCGUUGUCCGGAAUUACUGGGCGUAAAGGGCGUGUAGGCGGCCUGUUAAGUCAGGCGUGAAAACCCCGGGCUUAACCUGGGGACUGCGUUUGAAACUGGCGGGCUUGAGGGCAGGAGAGGAAAGUGGAAUUCCCGGUGUAGCGGUGAUAUGCGUAGAUACCGGGAGGAACACCAGUGGCGAAGGCGGCUUUCUGGACUGCACCUGACGCUGAGGCGCGAAAGCCAGGGGAGCGAACGGGAUUAGAUACCCCGGUAGUCCUGGCCGUAAACGAUGGGUACUAGGUGUGGGAGGUAUCGACUCCUUCCGUGCCGGAGCUAACGCAAUAAGUGUUCCGCCUGGGGAGUACGGCCGCAAGGUUGAA
rnacentral:rRNA from 1 species